rnacentral:rRNA from 1 species
GACGAACGCUGGCGGCGUGCUUAACACAUGCAAGUCGAACGGAAAGGCCCUUCGGGGUACUCGAGUGGCGAACGGGUGAGUAACACGUGGGUGAUCUGCCCUGCACUUUGGGAUAAGCCUGGGAAACUGGGUCUAAUACCGAAUAGGACCACGCGCUUCAUGGUGUGUGGUGGAAAGCUUUUGCGGUGUGGGAUGGGCCCGCGGCCUAUCAGCUUGUUGGUGGGGUAAUGGCCUACCAAGGCGACGACGGGUAGCCGGCCUGAGAGGGUGACCGGCCAAACUGGGACUGAGAUACGGCCCAGACUCCUACGGGAGGCAGCAGUGGGGAAUAUUGCACAAUGGGCGCAAGCCUGAUGCAGCGACGCCGCGUGAGGGAUGACGGCCUUCGGGUUGUAAACCUCUUUCAGCAGGGACGAAGCGCAAGUGACGGUACCUGUAGAAGAAGGACCGGCCAACUACGUGCCAGCAGCCGCCGUAACAC